rnacentral:tRNA from 1 species
GCAGGAAUGGCGGAAUGGCAGACGCGCAGGCUUCAGGUGCCUGUUGUAGCAAUACAGUGAGGGUUCAAGUCCCUUUUCCUGCA